AUUGAACGCUGGCGGCAGGCUUAACACAUGCAAGUCGAGCGGGCGAGGUUGCUUCGGUAACUGAGCUAGCGGCGGACGGGUGAGUAAUGCUUAGGAAUCUGCCUAUUAGUGGGGGACAACAUUCCGAAAGGGAUGCUAAUACCGCAUACGUCCUACGGGAGAAAGCAGGGGCUCUUUAUGACCUUGCGCUAAUAGAUGAGCCUAAGUCGGAUUAGCUAAUUGGUGGGGUAAAGGCCUACCAAGGCGACGAUCUGUAGCGGGUCUGAGAGGAUGAUCCGCCACACUGGGACUGAGACACGGCCCAGACUCCUACGGGAGGCAGCAGUGAGGAAUAUUGGACAAUGGGGGGAACCCUGAUCCAGCCAUGCCGCGUGUGUGAAGAAGGCCUUUUGGUUGUAAAGCACUUUAAGCGAGGAGGAGGGAUGUAGGUGAAUAGUCUGCAUCAUUGACGUUACCCAAAGAAGAAGCACCGGCUAACUCCGUGCCAGCCGCCGCCGUAAAAC
rnacentral:rRNA from 1 species